ACUAACUCCUUUUUACCAGGCUAGUUGGUAGUCUUCCAAUUUUCAUAGACUUUAAAUUGAUUUGAUAUACCUUGAGUGUCAGGCAUCGGGCAAAGUCCUUAUUUGGCUGAAUGGACGCCUUGUCUGAUUAGGUUGAAAUAUUGUGAGACAUUCGGUCAAUCUGUUUGACACUCACACUUGUAACAUUAGCAACCCCAGCUAAUCUCCGAUAAUCCCACAUUUUAUCUGGAAAACUGUGAAAAGUCUACACCGCCUGUGGCAUUUUGGGGAUUAAAAUUACAUUUGUAGAUGAAUAUUUUUAUAAUUGGUCUCAUUUUAAAGCUAAUAAAAUUCUCUACAAAAUGCAUGUUUUACUUUUGUAUUUUACCCACUAUAACCCAGUUUUAUCUGUUAAUAAACAAUAAAUAUUAUGGUUUUUCGCUGUUGCGCGUGAUUAUCAACUUUCAUGCACUCGGCGCGUGGCACAUGUACUCUUUGUUCCUAUUCGCGGGUGACUUAAACUUUAUGAAUAUUAAUGAGAUGGACGACUCCAUUUAGAAAAGUUCACGACCUCCAUUCAUGACUUUGAUGCAAAUUUUUAAGUUCAUCCGAACCGAAGAUAUAGUCCCCUAAAGUGUCGCCGAUUUUUUACAAAAAGUACUGAUUUCCGAACUAUGCAUCAUAUAUCAUAUUGUAGGGAAUGUUCUGAAGUUUAAUUUGAUAUAAAAAUCUUUUGUCGGAAACAAUAGGAACCCUCCCGCAUUUUAAGCCGAACGUAGUAAUUUAUUCAAAUUUACUCCGGUCACGCGGCGACCUCGCUUUUCACCUUUGACCGCCAUUUUGAUUAACUGAUUACGCAUCGUAAACACGUUUUUCUAUCGACGAUUUUGAGCAUGUUACCGAUAGAAAACAUCUUCAUGUGGUUCAACUUUAUUAUAAAUACAAAGUAGAUCUAGGAAGUCAAUGGCAGACUACCCAGGACCAUUCUGUCAUGAAAAUGGUAUAACAACCUCUCUUUAGAAGAAGGCAGAAACCUUGUAGCCUAUAAACAGGCAGAAGAAUGGACUCAUUCUUGAAAUAAAUACUUUUAUAGAAAAAAUGGGGAAAUUUCAA